GUUGACUAUAUUUAAAGGUAAUGAUUUACUUCACAAUUUAAUCGCGUGCGAAUGUUUUUCUUAACUUUUGUGUCUUAAGUUCGGUACGUAUUCGACAAUUUUUCAAGAAAUGUUUACACGCCUCCCGGUCUUAAACGAUAAUUUUUAAUUUAAAUUCUGUUUCUUUUUACUUUUUAAAUGUCUAAACUACCCGUCUAGUGUAUUUUUGUUUGUUUCAAUUACCUUAAAUAAUUAAAUACCCAUGUUUUUGUUUACAAUUUGGCAUUU